AGAGAGAAAGAGAGAGUUGGUUCGAUCGAAGUGCAGCCACGAUUGAACUGGACACGUCUGACUUUUUGCCUGGAUCGAGCGUCGCGAAGGUGGUGUGCAUGCUAAUUUUUUCUUUUUUUUUUUUUAAUUCAUAACAAUUCGAGAAUUUUGAGAUUUCGAGAUUCUCGUUCGAUAUACAAUUAUACGUAUAAUGUUGGUGGAAAAGUGAAGAAAAAAGAGAGAGAGAGAGACUCGUCGGUGGAAAUAUACAAGUGGUGGUUCUUUCUGUGCAUUUGUUAAAUUUUUAAUUUAUCGUGGGUGAUAUAUAUAUAAUAUAUGCUGUGAUAAUUAUUCGCAAUUGAGAUUCGUAUUUUUUUUUUUUUUUGAGGAGCAUGAUUCAUAAUAUAGGUGGGCAAGACAAUGGUUGUUGUUUAUCGUGCCGAGUCUCGUUUCUCGGUUGACACGUGAUGACGGAUGGAGUGAUACAAUAACGCUAGGAUUUAACAGAUGACACACGGAAAUUUAUUCGAUGAAUCAUUCAUACGAUUGGAGUGGUCAUGUACAGAAAUAAAAAUAAAAUCAACGUUUAGCGAGA